rnacentral:rRNA from 1 species
UACAGAGGCUGCAAGCGUUAUUCGGAUUCACUGGGCGUAAAGGGUGCGCAGGCGGCCAAGUGUGUCAGGUGUGAAAUCCCGAGGCUUAACCUCGGAACUGCGCCUGAAACUACUUGGCUAGAGUACUGGAGAGGGUAACGGAAUUCACGGUGUAGCAGUGAAAUGCGUAGAUAUCGUGAGGAACACCAGAGGCGAAGGCGGUUACCUGGACAGUUACUGACGCUCAGGCACGAAAGCGUGGGGAGCAAAAGGG